rnacentral:rRNA from 1 species
CAGUCGCCGCGGUAAUACGUAGGGUGCAAGCGUUAAUCGGAAUUACUGGGCGUAAAGCGUGCGCAGGAGGUUAUAUAAGACAGAUGUGAAAUCCCCGGGCUCAACCUGGGAACUGCAUUUGUGACUGUAUAGCUAGAGUACGGCAGAGGGGGAUGGAAUUCCGCGUGUAGCAGUGAAAUGCGUAGAUAUGCGGAGGAACACCGAUGGCGAAGGCAAUCCCCUGGGCCUGUACUGACGCUCAUGCACGAAAGCGUGGGGAGCAAACAGGAUUAGAUACCCCGGUAGUCCCUGUCUCUUAUAC